UACGUAGGCAGCGAGCGUUGUUCGGAGUUACUGGGCGUAAAGAGUGCGUAGGCGGUUUUCUAAGUUUGGUGUGAAAUCUCCCGGCUUAACUGGGAGGGUGCGCCGAAGACUGGAAGGCUUGAGUAUGGGAGAGGUAAGCGGAAUUCCAGGUGUAGCGGUGAAAUGCGUAGAUAUCUGGAGGAACACCGGUGGCGAAGGCGGCAUCCUGGACCGGCAUUGACGCUGAGGAGCGAAAGCCAGGGGAGCAAACGGG
rnacentral:rRNA from 1 species